GACGAACGCUGGCGGCAUGCCUAACACAUGCAAGUCGAACGGAGAGGAUUCAGAAGUUUACUUCAGGAUUCUCUUAGUGGCGGACGGGUGAGUAACACGUGGGUAAUCUGCCUGUUACAAACCGGGAUAACAGUGUGAAAACGCUGCUAAUACCGGAUAAGCUCACAAGGUCGGGAGACCUGGUGAGAAAAGGGCAAUCCGGUAACAGAUGAGCCCGCGGCUGAUUAGCUAGUUGGUGAGGUAAUGGCUCACCAAGGCGACGAUCAGUAGCCGGCCUGAGAGGGUGACCGGCCACACUGGAACUGAGACACGGUCCAGACUCCUACGGGAGGCAGCAGUGGGGAAUCUUCCGCAAAUGGGCGAAAGCCUGACGGAGCAAUGCCGCGUGAGUGAAGAAAGGCCCUCGGGGUUUAAAGCUCUUUUGUCCGGAAAGAAAAGCGCCGGGUUAAUACCCUGGUGUCCUGACGGUACCGGAAGAAUAAAGCACCGGCUAAACUUCGUGCCCAGCAGCCGAC
rnacentral:rRNA from 1 species